AUAUCACACCAAAGCAUCUCAAUCUGACAGCACGAUGUGGAGAAAAGUUAAUGGUGUAGAUAAAUACUCAAGAAAUAUGUUCAUCGGCAGUCUAAGUCAAUCAUUUAUAAAACUGAGGCUUUGCCAAGGCAUCCAUUUUAAGUAUGUGUCUAUAUGGCAAAUAAGAUGUAGUCAAGUACUCAAGUUACCACCUGUCAGCCAAGAUCAAACUUUUGGAAUAUAAGAGUUUUGGGGAGGGGUCAUCUUUUAUCAAUUUCUGUUUAUUGAUAAUAAUUAUAACAUUUGGGAAUGGGCCUAUGAGUCUGAUAUACCUUGGUGCGUGUGUGGACCACGGAGUAACCAUCACACUAAAGGAUGUUAUAUACUAUUGUACAGUAUUAUUGUUUCUCUGGAAAAAAUUGCAAUCAUUGAGUCAUAGGUAUUUUUUUUUUUUUUAAAGAAAUCAGCAUGUUUUUAUAAUGUGUUUUAUAAUAAGGGUGCAGGUCAUGAUACAAUACAUUCCCUGGAGAAAAAACAGUGCUCAGAUUUAGCCUAAGUAUGCUUUGUUGAAUUUUUAAAGAAAAAAGUAAUCUACAAAUGGAAGUAGCAGAUGAGGUCAUUUGUGCUUAAUAUUUGACCAUCAAUGUUAUAAUCUGUAAACAUAUUAGUUUGUUGUAAUAAAAAUGAAUAAAUUAAACAUGUUUAUUAUCUUAUAUACAGUAUUCCCUUCAUAUCUUUUCUUUUUAGUGUGCAUAUAUGGUUGGAUAAAUGGAAUCAUAUGUGUAAAAAAUCUGGAAACAGAACGUGAGAGUUCAGAGAGAGAGAGAGAGCAAAAGAGAAAGGAAAGGAAAUGAGAGAACUGUUUAAUGGUGAGAGAUGUUGAUGUCGUGAAAAUGAAAAAUUUAUAAUGCAGUGAGACAGCGAGAGAGAAAAAA